rnacentral:rRNA from 1 species
GACGGAGGAUGCAAGCGUUAUCCGGAAUUAUUGGGCGUAAAGCGUCCGCAGGUGGCAGUUCAAGUCUGCUGUCAAAGACCGGGGCUUAACUUCGGAAAGGCAGUGGAAACUGAACAGCUAGAGUAUGGUAGGGGCAGAGGGAAUUCCUGGUGUAGCGGUGAAAUGCGUAGAGAUCAGGAAGAACACCGAUGGCGAAGGCAGGUCUCUGGGCCGAUACUGACGCUGAGGAGCGAAAGCGUGGGGAGCGAACAGG